GUCUGAGGAAAUGAUGUUCAUAACAUCUUAUCAGCUUCGAGGUUUUACAGUAUAUUAUCUCAUUUAAUCUUCUCAUUAGACCAGAGAGGUAGGUAAUCCCCAUCACAUUUUACAGAGGAGGAAGUAAAGUUCUAGCAAAAUUGAGUAACCAGCCCAAGGUUGCAAGGGUCAGCAGGUUGCGGAAAUAGGACUCAGACACGAGUCUACACUCAACCACAAGACUGUCUCUAUGUCUUAAUGUAGUCUGUCUAUCUCCCCAUCCCCCUCUCUGUCUUCUGGUUCUCUUUUAAAUGGGGUUUUACUCUUUCUACUUUGUCUUGGUCUACAGGGAGUCCUAGACUUACAUGUUGCAGAGGAUGCGUUUGGAGUCCACCUACUAUAAACUCUCCUAAAAGAGAUUAGGCUUAGUUGGAGACUUCAUAUGAGAGCAGGAAAUAAAAUUAAAAUUCAGCUCUUGCUUCUGCCCUACAGUAUCCUACUUCUGAAGGACCAAGGCUCUUCAGUGAAGUGGAGAAAGACAAGAAUGUGUACACUAAGAUGUUCUGGGAGCCCAGGAGCUGAGGGACAGCCCUAGCUUGGAGGUGAUGAGAGGUUCAGAAGUCUGCAGCAGGAGGGACAUCCACAGAUGAAGUUCCGUCAUGGAAUCACCAGUGUGUCUGCUUUUUGUUACUGUGGCUCUGGAGUAUAUCUCGAAAUCAGAUGGGUGCCUAGCCCAGCUGUCAUCUGAAAGGCUUCAUCCACAGCUGAUGGGAGCAGAUGCAGAGACCCACAGCCAAAGAUUAGACGGAGCUUGGAGAACUCCACAGAAGAGGACGAGGAAGGAUUGUAGGAGCCAGUGGAGUCAACAACAGGAGAACACGGCCCACAGAGUCAACUAAGCAGGGCCCAUGGGGGCUCACAGAGGCUGAAGCAGCAAUCACAGAGCCUGUAUAGGUCUUCCCCAGGCCCUCGGCAUAUAUGUUAUGGUUGUAUUGUAGCUUGGUGUUUUUGUGGGACUCCUUAGAGUGGGAGUUGGGGUAUCUCUGAUGCUUUUGUCUGUGCUUGGGACCCUUUUCCUCUUCCUGGGUUGCCUUGUGCCUAGUCUUACUGCAUCUUGUUAUGCCAUGUGGGUUGAUUUCCCUGGAAGGCCUGCUUUUUUUCUGAAGGGAAACGGAGGAGCAGUGACUCUGGGGGAGAAAGGAGGUGGAGAGGGA
rnacentral:lncRNA from 1 species